AUUGAACGCUGGCGGAAUGCUUUACACAUGCAAGUCGAGCGGCAGCGCGGGGCAACCUGGCGGCGAGCGGCGAACGGGUGAGUAAUGCAUCGGAACAUGUCCAUGUCGUGGGGGAUAGCCCGGCGAAAGCCGGAUUAAUACCGCAUAAUCCCGAGAGGGGAAAGUGGGGGACCGCAAGGCCUCACGCGAUUGGGUUGGCCGAUGUCCGAUUAGCUAGUUGGCGGGGUAAGAGCCCACCAAGGCGAUGAUCGGUAGCUGGUCUGAGAGGAUGAUCAGCCACACUGGGACUGAGACACGGCCCAGACUCCUACGGGAGGCAGCAGUGGGGAAUUUUGGACAAUGGGGGCAACCCUGAUCCAGCCAUUCCGCGUGAGUGAAGAAGGCCUUCGGGUUGUAAAGCUCUUUUGUCCGGAACGAAACGGUUACGGUGAAUACCCGUGACUACUGACGGUACCGGAAGAAUAAGCACCGGCUAACUACGUGCCAGCAGCCGCCGUAA
rnacentral:rRNA from 1 species